UUCUAUUAAAAUCACUAAUUAAUAGUAAGAUCUGCUCAAUGAAAAAUAAAUAGCCGCAAUUCGUGCUAAGGUAGCAUAAUCAUUUGUCUUUUAAAUAAAGACUAGAACAAAAGAUUUAACAUUUUAAUAAAUAUAUCUGAUAUAAAUAUUCAAUUUUUAAAAGAAGUAAAAAUACUACUAUAAUAAAGAAAGACGACAAGACCCUAUUGAACUUAACUUUAGUUAAACUGGGGUAGUAAAUUAAUUAUGAUUUUAAUACAAAUAAAAUAAUAAAUAUCCUUUAUAAUAGAUUAAUCCAGUUACCAUAGGGAUAACAGCGCAAUUACUUUUUAAAGCUCUUAUAUUAAAAAUAGAUUACGACCUCGAUGUUGAAUUAAUAACCUAAAUAAGGCAAAUCUUAAACAAGGAAGUCUGUUCGACUUUUAAAAAAUUACA
rnacentral:rRNA from 1 species